AGCGGCGAACGGGUGAGUAACACGUGGGUGACCUGCCCUCCACUCUGGGAUAAGCCCGGGAAACUGGGUCUAAUACCGGAUAGGACCACUGAUCGCAUGGUUGGUGGUGGAAAGUUUUUUCGGUGGGGGAUGGGCCCGCGGCCUAUCAGCUUGUUGGUGGGGUGAUGGCCUACCAAGGCGGUGACGGGUAGCCGGCCUGAGAGGGCGACCGGCCACACUGGGACUGAGACACGGCCCAGACUCCUACGGGAGGCAGCAGUGGGGAAUAUUGCGCAAUGGGCGGAAGCCUGACGCAGCGACGCCGCGUGGGGGAUGACGGCCUUCGGGUUGUAAACCUCUUUCGCCAGGGACGAAGAGCAAUUGACGGUACCUGGAGAAGAAGCACCGGCCAACUACGUGCCAGCAGCCGCGGUAACACGUAGGGUGCGAGCGUUGUCCGGAAUUAUUGGGCGUAAAGAGCUCGUAGGCGGUGUGUCGCGUCGGCCGUGAAAACUUGGGGCUUAACUCUGAGCGUGCGGUCGAUACGGGCAUCACUUGAGUUCGGCAGGGGAGACUGGAAUUCCUGGUGUAGCGGUGAAAUGCGCAGAUAUCAGGAGGAACACCGGUGGCGAAGGCGGGUCUCUGGGCCGAUACUGACGCUGAGGAGCGAA
rnacentral:rRNA from 1 species